GGAAAAGUUGCCAUAGGUAAGGCAAGAUAUUUGCUAAAUAUUGUGUUUUUACACCUGAAGGUUCAAAUCCUUCCUUUUCCG
rfam:Diplodia seriata DS_831_scaffold_v01_67, whole genome shotgun sequence.